rnacentral:rRNA from 1 species
UGAGGAAUAUUGGUCAAUGGACGCAAGUCUGAACCAGCCAAGUAGCGUGCAGGAUGACGGCCCUAUGGGUUGUAAACUGCUUUUAUAUGGGGAUAAAGUGGGGAACGUGUUCCCUUUUGCAGGUACCAUAUGAAUAAGGACCGGCUAAUUCCGUGCCAGCAGCCGCGGUAAUACGGAAGGUUCGGGCGUUAUCCGGAUUUAUUGGGUUUAAAGGGAGCGUAGGCCGUUUGGUAAGCGUGUUGUGAAAUGUAGGAGCUCAACUUCUAGAUUGCAGCGCGAACUGUCAGACUUGAGUGCGCACAACGUAGGCGGAAUUCAUGGUGUAGCGGUGAAAUGCUUAGAUAUCAUGACGAACUCCGAUUGCGAAGGCAGCUUACGGGAGCACAACUGACGCUAAAGCUCGAAGGUGCGGGUAUCGAACAGG